rnacentral:rRNA from 1 species
CACCCUACGGGGGGCAGCAGUCGGGAAUAUUGCGCAAUGGAGGAAACUCUGACGCAGUGACGCCGCGUAUAGGAAGAAGUUUUUCGGAAUGUAAACUAUUGUCGUUAGGGAAGAGAAAGGACAGUACCUAAGGAGGAAGCUCCGGCUAACUACGUGCCAGCAGCCGCGGUAAUACGUAGGUGGCAAGCGUUAUCCGGAUUUACUGGGUGUAAAGGGGGCGCAGACGGCGAUGCAAGCCAGGAGUGAAAGCCCGGGGCCCAACCCCGGGACUGCUCUUGGAACUGCGUGGCUAGAGGACAGGAGGG